GGAUACGGAAUGGGUUGCGGCAGGGAACCGGGCAUAGGCAGCCCAUGAGGAGGCCGAAUCAAAGACUGUUGAUGCAACUGGGGAAGGCCAUUGGGAGGUGGGGUGUAGUAUCCUUGCCAAUACAUUGGUGGUUGAGGUGAGGCUCCCCAAGGAGCAAGAUUUCCACCAGGCUGAUACAAAGGCAUUGAGUUUUGGAAUCCCAUCCCAUGCUGCCCAGGUUGUCCAUUAUGAGAACUAAUGUCAGGCAUUGAACUGCUCACGGCGGGAGGCAAGCCACUAGAUGUUGGGAUCGGGCUAGGAUAAUGAGACUGCAAAACAGAGACAAUCGGGGCAUGAAGACACAUCUCUACAAGAUUACUCUACAACAUCUCCAUUAUAUUCACCUGAAUUAUAGCAGGAUCAUUGUUUAAGGUAGGUGGAGCUGGAGGCUGAACUGGUGGAGAGGCUUUGACUUGCAAAUCCUGCCAAUAACAAGAAGAGUCAGUGCACAAACAGAGAUAGUUACAUCAAAGCAUACGCACAAUCCUGUUUGGAUACCUUGAUAUCGGUUCCACGGAACAAUAUGUACUCAUAAACUUUCUCACUUGGAGGAACUUGAGGACCAUCUUUUUUCCUUCCUUCAGUUCCAAAUGAUCGGACUACAUACGUUGAAAAUCACACAGAUCAGUACAUACUAAGCUUAUUCAAAGAUUCACCAACAGUUUCAAGACUUUGAUUACAAUCUGAUGAGCUUAGAUAGUAGACAUGAGCACAACUUAUUAAUGAAGAUCCAAUCACAAGAGCACACAGGGAUAGAUAGAGCAUAAGAGUUAUACACUACACAUCUAACAAUCCUGAGACGGAAUCGUACCGUUUUGAAGUCCGAUACUGGAUUCAUCGGUGUUGAUGUUGUAAAGGAUGCCUUCGUAUCUGAUCUCGCUCUUGGAAGUCAAACUAAUCAAGCUCCCUACGUAAGAAUCUGCCGAGGAGGAGCUCGAUUUCGCGCCCGUGUUAUCAGUCGCCAUACCGGAUCUAUAUCUCUCUCUUUCGCCAAAUCCACAAACAAAGAGAGAGAGAAAUAAACCAGAGUCGAGAAAGGGCAAAGCAAAGAUCCCCUUCGAGAGAGAAAGCUACAGACAAUUAGGGUUUACUCUGAUUUGGGGGAGAUGAGAUCGAGAGAGAGCAUCUCUUUCUGAUUAUCCGUAAAAAAACCCCCAAGAAAAUAUGUAUAUUACCAUAAUAGCCUCGUCUAGUAACACUAGCUUUCAUCUUCUAACUAAUUGUAGACCGCCACGUGUCUAAGUACGGAGGGCCUCGCCGUCAUUCACCAAUGAUGUUCUCACAGCCAGUGGGCUACGAGCCACUCCAAUUGCACGGCUCGUGUUCGUAUUGAUUAGCCUGUAGGCUGUAUUUACAAGUGUAACCCUGUUCCUGUGAAUAAUUUACGCUCGGAGCCUGUGUUGAUUGGUUCCGUAAAACGACUGCGUUUAAGCUUAGCGACAACCACGAAGACGCACAACAAAGCCACUGAUUAGCCUUUUUCUUAUGAAGCAUUGUGCUUUAACAUUUUUUUUUAAUAUUCAUGCUGCUUUGAUACAUAACCUAUUGUUUUCUUGUAUUGACUUUUCUUGUAAAGAGCUUAUCUUCCUGUUCAAUACUGGCAACUCAGGAGAAGACCAAUACAGUUUAAUGAGGCUAACUAAAUAAAGACUUUUUUUAUUCACUGAUCUUUGUUGUUCUACAAUUACACAAACCGAGAAUGACAAAAGAAUCAACGUGUAUUGCAAACUGGAAUACAGUUCAUCAUCAUGUUCAGAGUUCAAAACCACUCCGUAUCUUCCAAGUAUAAUGGUUCUUCUGUCUCCUUGUUAAGUACUAUACACAGAAGGAGUUUACUUCACUCUGCUCUACUGGGAGAUAGAGAGAGUGAAAGUUAGAACGGACUGACCCAGUGAGCCAACUUCAACAUGAAUUCAGGCACAAGACGCCUUCUGUCUACGCUUUUACCAACCACUUCUGAGUCGCCUCCCAGGACCACUGAUACUAUAUCUUCAAACAUCUCAUCUACUCCACCUCUCAUUGGAUCCUAACAUAUAUAAACCAAGUUUCUAGAUCAAAUAUUCAGGUUCUUUUACGAAUAGACAUUCAAGACCUGCCAUUUUGUACCUGAAGAAACAGAUCCGUGUGUGUUUUCCCCUCGUAAAGGAUCACUUCUGCUUUACCUCCAAGUCUCUGGAGGGUUUCCGCAAAAGAUUUACUACAAAAAAAAAAAACAACGCACGAGAAGUUCAAUCACCAUAUCAACCACCUGAACUACAUGAGACAAGACAUGCACACACAAGGCUAUUGAAGUUUAGCCAUACCUUGCAUCUGAAGGGAUGGAGUAGUCAGCAGUACCAUGGAAUAGAAUAAUAGGUGGGAGACGAGCAAUAAUGUGUUUAAGAUUUGGAUUUUGCACUACUAGUUCAGGAGAAAACUGACUUAAUGAUUCCUCUCCUUCCAUGAUGCUGCGGAAAACAAAAGUCACACGUUAAACCUUAGGUUGCUCUACAGGUCAGGUGAGCAUCUUAAGCUAUUCCAAGAUUUGAUAUUAUACCUCAGGAAAAUGGAACGAUAGAGUCCCCUGCUAUGGAAGUGAUCUACAAGGCUCAGAAGGUUGUACCUGUAAAUCAUGAUCACAGAAAUUUCAAAGGAAAGUAAAACAGAUAAUUGUUAAGUGUAAAACAUUUUCUAUAACUUCUUAGUCUUUAGUUGGAUAUAAGACAUGAAUCUACUUGCUUCAUUAAGCUGCUCUUUGAAAUAACGCUAUGCGAUUAUCUACAACCAUUUCACGAAAAUUACUCGAAAAUAAACUUGUUUAUAACAGCUUAUUGAGACGUCUCAAUUCCAUUAUUCCAAUGUCAUUAUGAGAACUCACCAAAUGUCUGGAAUCAUACCAAAUACCGUUUGUCAAAUGUCAAUGAGUUUCUCUUCAGAUUCUGGAACUAAUUAUGUCCAGCCUGCUUUUUGACCGAAGAAAUAUACUAUAGAUUGUACCUCAGUAUCUAGUUUACGUAGCUCUGAGAACCUAGGCCUUGCAUUUUGGGAAUCUCGGUCCCCGGAGUUUGAUGAUAGGCUAUCGAAAAAGUCGUCUUUGUUGUAAACAGGCUACAUCAAUAAAACAAUUAAGGCAUAUGAGACCAGAGAGGGGGAUGGAACAUGGCGGUUUUACUUUAUUAUAAGUUUACUUGACUUACUUUGACCUCGACCUUAGGCAGCUCAGGUUCAUCAACGAUUGGGAAAUCAUCAUCACCAUCACCAUUGGUGCUCUUCCCAAGAUGACCCCAAACUUCAUCCUUAUUGAACUUUUCAUUCAUCGCCGUGAAGUCAAAAUCUUCAGUGAACUUCAUUACCUGGUGUGAUCGCUGCCAACAAGGAGGAUUAUUAGCAUACUUGGCUAUGAUUCAUGAGCUUACUUUAACUAGUAGAUGUUAGCAAAAACCAUUAAAUGCCUCGACACAUUCUAAAAAUGAGAGAGAAGAAUAUUACCCCUGCUCCUCUUCCCCUUCCUCUCCCACGUCCCCUGUAACCAUUAUAGGUUGGGAAGGAAUGCCCGUUUGGCUGAGAAAAAAAAAUCAGCAAACGAGAUCAACUAAUCAUCAAACAAUGAAGACUUGUAUGUAGACAUUCAAGAAGAAAUCUAAUACAGACCAAGGAAGGAACCAAGAGAGAUUUUCAUGCCUCUUUUACAAAGAAAAAAGAGGCUUAGGAUGGGUAUUACCACAGGUGCAAAUAUAACAGCUACAGGUUAUUCAAGCAAAUGGAAGAUCAUAUCAAGUUCGUUACUCCUCAAAAAAAAUUCUCUAGAAUUCAAGGGUCGUUCUCAUAUCAGUAAGUGAAGUAGCAAAUAUCGUUUAAAGGGAUGACAAGCAACUAAAUAGAUUUGGAAAUUUGUGUAAGUUCAAAACCUUAUGAGUUGGCCUUGCAGAGGAAGGCAAUGGCAGUAUUGGGGGUUGGGCUUCUGAUGUAACUGAAGCAGAUUGUUCCAAAGCAGCUGAUGAUGAUACUUGAACCACCUCAUCAUCUUUACCAGCGUUGUUAGAGGGUGGGGACAAAGAGACUGACGCAGAUCCAGACUGCAACAGUUGGCCAGGAGUAACCAACAAAGGUUUUGGCUUAUCUUGGCUGAUGGAACUAGAAACUUUAGAAUCAGGAGCAGAUGCUAAUGGUGUUGCCUGUGGCACAGAUAUAGGAUCAGUAACUAGUGGCAAGCCAGCACUUGUAUCAGUGGCUCUAGUAGUUGGUAGAGAAAAGGGAAGCAAAUUAGUAUCCUGAGAUAGGGUAGGAGGUGCAGCAAUAGGAGCCUUGUUCGAAAACAAAGGAGGUGCCAUCUCUGAAGCUAGGGAAGGAGAUGGUGCUGACUGCAACGUUGAUUGGAGGCCUGAAGACAGCGUCAUAGGUAAACCAGUAAAAGGCAAAGAACUGGGUGCUAGAGCUUGAGAACUGCUACUAUAAGGAAACAGUGACGAAGGUGGUUCCGGCAAGCUUGAGCCCUGCAAAUUUGAUGAGCCAGCAGGUGGAGGGGCAUUAAAGUUAGGAUACGGAAUGGGUUGCGGCAGGGAACCGGGCAUAGGCAGCCCAUGAGGAGGCCGAAUCAAAGACUGUUGAUGCAACUGGGGAAGGCCAUUGGGAGGUGGGGUGUAGUAUCCUUGCCAAUACAUUGGUGGUUGAGGUGAGGCUCCCCAAGGAGCAAGAUUUCCACCAGGCUGAUACAAAGGCAUUGAGUUUUGGAAUCCCAUCCCAUGCUGCCCAGGUUGUCCAUUAUGAGAACUAAUGUCAGGCAUUGAACUGCUCACGGCGGGAGGCAAGCCACUAGAUGUUGGGAUCGGGCUAGGAUAAUGAGACUG
rnacentral:lncRNA from 1 species